GCAGUAGCCACGGGAAAACCAGCACCUCGAGUGGUCAGGAGGUUUAUUGGGCCUAAAGCAUCCGUAGCCGGUUGCAUAAGUUUUCGGUUAAAUCUAUGCGCUUAACGUAUAGGCCGCCGAAAAUACUGUGCAGCUAGGGAGUGGGAGAGGUACACGGUACUCGAUAGGAAGGGGUAAAAUCCUUUGAUCUAUUGAUGACCACCUGUGGCGAAGGCGGUGUACCAGAACACGUUCGACGGUGAGGGAUGAAAGCUGGGGGAGCAAACCGGAUUAGAUACCCCUGUAGUCCCUGUCUCUUAUAC
rnacentral:rRNA from 1 species